rnacentral:ribozyme from 1 species
GUCUCUUUCCCUUUUUCUUUUUUUCUUUUUCUUUUUUUUUUCGCA